GGCUGGUCUGAGGGCAGUGGCAUUUACAUCUAAUUGAUCACAACCAGUUAUAGAUUCCUUUGUUCCUUCUCCACUCGCACUGCUUUACCUGACUUAGGUUUAG
ensembl:misc_RNA Y_RNA Y RNA